CCCGCCCCUAUCCCCAGCUCGGGCUGUGUCGUCCCUGAACCCGCCCCCUCUCCUGGCCCCGCCUACUUCCUUGCGGCCAGCUUCGGCCAACUUCGAACGCCCACCGCGGCCUCGCUGCAACCUGUCGCGUGAUGUUCUUGCCAUGCCAUUCCCACACCUUCCUUGGCCUCCUGACCUUUUCUGCUGCCCGUGUUCCCCCACCCUGAGCCCACCUCUCCCCGACCCCACCCUGUCCACCCCCACCGAACCUCCCUCCAGUAGAGUGACGCCUCUGUGCCGCCCCCUCUCCGCCGCACCGAUUUUGCGCUUUGUCACCGCCCUGUGCACUCCCUCCUGCCUCCACCGCAUCAGCUCUAUCUACUUCUUUCUUCCCGAACCUUCCACCUAGGUUCUCCUGAAAACUUGCUUCACAGAACUCGGCAAGAAGUUACCACCUCCGAAAGAUGGUCUCCUGGGAGCCACGAUGCGGAAUGGGAAGCCUCAGUUUCUUCCGCUGUAUGCUGGGGGGAGGAGGUUGAAGAGUUGCUCCCUGUCUUAGCUCCUGCGCUGACCAGGUAUUUAGAGGCCAGAGGUGGAUGAGGUCAGCUUGCAUGUGAUCCUGAUGAAGGCCAGAGGCCAGCUGGGCAUCCAUCCCUGAGCUAAGAGAGGAAGAUCCAAGGAGCAGCCUCCAGAGAACGCCUCACCUGUGGUCCUUUCCCAAGACUGGGUGUCCUCAAAUACCUUUUCCUCAAAACCAACCACACCUUGCCUGGCUCCCCGGCUCUGUUUUUCUGCUCAGGGCCUUGACCUCCUGACAUCACACUGCAUAGCUGCAGAAGGAUUCAAAGCCUCACCGGGGACCUAACCACCCUGCCACCUCUCCCUUGAACUUCCAGUCCUCAGCACGGGGAGAAAGCAAACACCUGUUGUUUAAGCCAUCAGCCCAUGGCGUUUUGCCACGGCAGCUCAAACUGACUAAGACACUAUGUGUUCUUCAGGCCUGUUUGCUGACAGCGGUCUUCCCAGCUCCCAGCAAACGCAGGCUGUGUGAUGGAGAAUGGGGGGGAGAGGCCUGCUUAAGGAAGAUGGCCGUGGUAUGGUAAGGUGGGUUGAGGUGUGGAAGACACUCCAGAGCAGGAACCUGCAGCUCCAACUGCUCAGGCCUCACCUGGAGAUUUGUACCCGCUGUCCCCUGGCACCUUGGGUGUAGGACCUGAGUCUGACUCACUCAAUGGUCCUAGACCAGUGGGUCUCAGGCUUCCUAAUGCUUCAGCCCUUUAAGUUUCUCAUGUUGUCCUGAUCCCCCCCAUAAAAAUGUUUUGUUGCUACUUCAUAAUUGUAAUUUUGCUACUAUUAUGGAUCAUAAUGUAAAUAUCUGUGUUUUCCCAAUGGUCUUAGGCGAUCCCUGUGAAAGGGCGCUGUCCUAGAGUCAGACACAGAAGGGACUUUGUCAAAAAGGUGUGCAUCAAAGGAAUUAAUGGCCUUUGUCUUCGUCUUCUCUCCCCUGGGCCUGUUAAUGAGGACACAGCAGGAAGGUUGGGGUGACCAGCUGUGAGCCUGGAGAGCUGAAGUUUGGCUGGUGAGAAUGAGGGACUCAGAAGCUGGCAACUGUACCUUUCUUUGCUUCCAAGGAAACCACAUCACUGCCUACACAUCCCCACUGGCAGGCUCUUGCCUGCCGUCCUUAGGCUCCAACACCAUAAUCACCUUUAGGGCUCACUUCUCUGGGGAGCCUUCUGAGGAGUUUGGCCAAAGCACUGUGUCCUUGGCCACUUCAAACCCCUGUGCCUCAACCCCACACAACUGCCUUCAGGGGACCAGUACCAAAUCAAUUUGUUCCAUUUUCCCUGGCAUCCAUUCCAGGACAGGCGCCAGAAUGUAUUUGUUGAAUAAAUACAUGAACAUCA